rnacentral:ncRNA from 1 species
AUAAUGAUACUUCCGUCGAGGGACGGCUCGGUGAGAACCACGGAGGGGUAGAACGGCCCAUG